CCUGCCUGUCACGCGCGCGGUGGUCCCACCUGACCCCAUGCCGAACUCAGAAGUGAAACGCCGUAGCGCCGAUGGUAGUGUGGGGUCUCCCCAUGCGAGAGUAGGGAACUGCCAGGC
rnacentral:rRNA from 1 species